CAAGUCCAAGAUUUUUCUAUUAUAUUUUAUUUAUUUAUUUAUUUUAUUUUAUUUUAUUUUUCUUUUUUCGUUUAUUUUUUUUGCAUAACACGUGGGUUUCGCUUAUCGAGCAUGACAGCUCAUGAACAAACAUUUGCUCCUUCAAGAUUAACAUUUUGACUGACGAAUAGACCCCUGUUGGAAGUAACUCAAGUCUUUCCCUUUUGUUGACUGAUCAUCUAAAUAGAACCCACA
rnacentral:lncRNA from 1 species